GUGUUCGUUGAAAGGAGAGAUGGUUGACAUAUCUCUGGACAGAGACUUGAAUAGCCUCUGGGCUUUAUUGUUACAACACAUACGGUUAAGAUCUCCCACAUGUUGUGGAUCUUACCCAAUUUAUUU